GAGCGGUUGGAAAAGGAUCGGCCAAGGCCGACGAUCAAGUCUGGGCUAAAGCCCAGCCACUCACGACGCCACUGCGAGCUCAGAAACGUCUGUGGAUUUCGAGUUUUCCCAUGUCGUUUCCGGCGACUCCGGCGAUUGUUUCCGUCAAUCGAGAGAGGAGUUCAAGUUUGAGAAAAACCAAGUCACAGAUUUUCACAAACAAAUCUGCUUGUAAAUUGAAAUUGGGGGACCUGAAAGGAGCACUGUUAGACACCGACUUUGCAAUGAAGGAUGGAGAAGAUAAUGUUAAGGCUUUCUUUUGCCAA